rnacentral:lncRNA from 1 species
UCAGUCAUUGAGAGUUAUGUAAGACUUAACUUCAUAUAUUAGAGAAAAAAAGGAGUAUUUACAUCUUAAAUUGUACAAUAUAACUUCUUUUUUUACCCAUGUGAUGUAGUUAUGUUGAUUAAUACAUUUGGUUGUAAUUCCACAUAUUGUAAGUAACAUUACAUUUUUAGUAAGCCAUUUCUUGCUGUGUAAUCAACACUAAUUCACUCUGGCUUCUAACGCUUAUGCCCAUAUUUCCAUGUUUGAAGGGUGACUAUUGCUCUACUAGACUCAUAUAUGAUUGUCUUGACUUAAUGUUAAGCUGCAAAUUACAUGCAAAUCUCCUCCAUAUAUUUCCUAACUCUCUUUAAAUCAUUGGUUACUAUUCAGCUCCUCAAAUCACUGUCUUUUGAUGGCAGAUCCAAAACAGCAAAAAGACAGGCCAACUUCCUGAAUCAUAGGUAUAGCCUUUGCUUAUAUCUCACUUUACUCUCUUUUGACCACCGUAAGCCAGAGAGCAAAUCCCAAAUUUAUGGAGCCAGAAAGGAGUGAAUGUUUGUUGAGAAGUAUCUCAUUUUGUAUCAUACAUAUUAUCUUCGCUGGGUCUGUUUCUUAGUAUUAAUGUGUACAUGCAUGUACACACACAACUAUUAUUACACUU